CAUUAUUGAAUGUUGCCUUGAUAGGUUGUCGCUGGCUCUUAAACAAGGGCAUGUGCACACCUGUCUUGACUACUAUUCAUCCACCUGUGCACCUUUUGUAGUCUUUUUGGGGGCUGGGGAAGUGGCAGCUCAGGCUGUUGCUGAACCUCCUGCUGAAGACUAUGUUUAUAUUCAUAUACCAUGUAGAAUGUUACAGAAUGUUGUCAAUGGGCACUUGUGGCCUAUAUAAAAUCUAUACAACUUUCAGCAACGGAUCUCUUGGCUCUCGCAUCGAUGAAGAACGCAGCGAAAUGCGAUAAGUAAUGUGAAUUGCAGAAUUCAGUGAAUCAUCGAAUCUUUGAACGCACCUUGCGCUCCUUGGCUAUUCCGAGGAGCAUGCCUGUUUGAGUGUCAUUAUAUUCUCAACCCCACCAGCUUUUGUGGCUGGCCCCUGGGGCUUGGAUGUGGAGGUUUGCUGGCCCUCUGGGGUCAGCUCCUCUGAAAUACAUUAGCGGAACCGUUUGCGAUCCGUCACAGGUGUGAUAAUUAUCUACGCCAGUGGGUUGCUUUCUGUCUGUUCAGCUUAUAAUCGUCCUGUUACUGGACAACUUAUUGAACGUUGACCU
rnacentral:rRNA from 1 species